rnacentral:tRNA from 1 species
GGGUUAGCUCAGUGGUAGAGCCUGUGCUUAGCAUGCACCACGCCUGGGUUCAAUCUUCAGUAUCCG